GUUGGUAGAGCUCAGUUGGUAGAGCAUUGUGCUAAGAACACAAAGGUCAUGGGUUCAAAGCAAGAACUGACA